CUUGAACGCUGGCGGUAUGCUUAACACAUGCAAGUCGAACGGAGCUUUUCGGAGCUUAGUGGCGGACGGGUGAGUAACGCGUGAGAAUCUGCCUUUUGGACCGGGACAACUGCGGGAAACGGCAGCUAAGACCGGAUGUGCCUUCGGGUGAAAUAUUCAUAGCCAAAAGAGGAGCUCGCGACCGAUUAGCUAGUUGGUGGGGUAAGAGCCUACCAAGGCUGCGAUCGGUAGCCGGUUUGAGAGGACGACCGGCCACACUGGGACUGAGACACGGCCCAGACUCCUACGGGAGGCAGCAGUGGGGAAUUUUCCGCAAUGGGCGAAAGCCUGACGGAGCAAUACCGCGUGAGGGAGGAAGGCUCUUGGGUCGUAAACCUCUUUUCUCAGGGAAGAAGCAAUGACGGUACCUGAGGAAUCAGCAUCGGCUAACUCCGUGCCAGCAGCCGCCGUAACAC
rnacentral:rRNA from 1 species